ACCCGCUGAACUUAAGCAUAUCAAUAAGCGGAGGAAAAGAAACUAACAAGGAUUCCCCUAGUAACUGCGAGUGAAGCGGGAUGAGCUCAAAUUUAAAAUCUGGCGUCAUCGGCGUCCGAGUUGUAAUUUAGAGAAGCGUUUUCCGCGCCGGACCGUGUACAAGUCUCCUGGAACGGAGCGUCAUAGAGGGUGAGAAUCCCGUCUUUGACACGGACCCCCGGUGCUCUGUGAUACGCUCUCGAAGAGUCGAGUUGUUUGGGAAUGCAGCUCAAAAUGGGUGGUGAACUCCAUCUAAAGCUAAAUAUUGGCGAGAGACCGAUAGCGAACAAGUACCGUGAGGGAAAGAUGAAAAGCACUUUGGAAAGAGAGUGAAACAGUACGUGAAAUUGUUGAAAGGGAAACGCUUGAAGUCAGUCGCGUCCGCCGGGAUUCAGCCUUCGGGUGUACUUUCCGGUGGACGGGCCAGCAUCACUUUCAAUCAUCGGACAAGGUCGAGAGGAAUGUGGCACCUUCGGGUGUGUUAUAGCCUCUUGUCGUAUACGGUGACUGGGAGUGAGGACCGCCUUUGUAGGAUGCUGGCGUAAUGGCUUUAAACGACCCGUCUUGAAACACGG
rnacentral:rRNA from 1 species